UUAGUGGCGAACGGGUGAGUAACACGUGGGCAAUCUGCCCUUCACUCUGGGACAAGCCCUGGAAACGGGGUCUAAUACCGGAUAACACUCCUGUCCUCCUGGACGGGGGUUAAAAGCUCCGGCGGUGAAGGAUGAGCCCGCGGCCUAUCAGCUUGUUGGUGAGGUAAUGGCUCACCAAGGCGACGACGGGUAGCCGGCCUGAGAGGGCGACCGGCCACACUGGGACUGAGACACGGCCCAGACUCCUACGGGAGGCAGCAGUGGGGAAUAUUGCACAAUGGGCGAAAGCCUGGGUGGGGCGACGCCGCGUGAGGGAUGACGGCCUUCGGGUUGUAAACCCUCUUUCAGCAGGGAAGAAGCGAAAAGUGACGGUACCUGCAGGAAAGAAGCGGCCGGGCUAACUACGUG
rnacentral:rRNA from 1 species